rnacentral:rRNA from 1 species
GUCUAUGGCCACGCCACCCUGAACAAGCCCAAUGUCUGAUUGCGGAAACUAAACAGGAUCAGGCCUGGUUAGUACUUGGAUGGGAGACCACCUAGGAAGACCAGGUGCUGUAGGCA